rnacentral:rRNA from 1 species
CACCUCUAGCAUUUCCAGUAUUAGAGGCACUGCCUGCCCAGUGACAUCUGUUUAAACGGCCGCGGUAUCCUAACCGUGCAAAGGUAGCAUAAUCACUUGUUCCCUAAAUAGGGACUUGUAUGAAUGGCCACACGAGGGUUUUACUGUCUCUUACUUCCAAUCAGUGAAAUUGACCUUCCCGUGAAGAGGCGGGAAUGACUAAAUAAGACGAGAAGACCCUAUGGAGCUUUAAUUAACUGAUUCACAAAAAACAACACACAAACCUAACCUUCAGGGACAACAAAACUUUUGAUUGAAUCAGCAAUUUCGGUUGGGGUGACCUCGGAGAACAAAACAACCUCCGAGUGAUUUAAAUCCAGACUAACCAGUCAAAAUAUAUAAUCACUUAUUGAUCCAAACCAUUGAUCAACGGAACAAGUUGCCCUAGGGAUAACAGCGCAAUCCUAUUCCAGAGUCCAUAUCGACAAUUAGGGUUUACGACCUCGAUGUUGGAUCAAGACAUCCUAAUGGUGCAACCGCUAUUAAGGGUUCGUUUGUUCAACGAUUAAAGUCUUACGU